UACGGAGGGAGCUAGCGUUGUUCGGAAUUACUGGGCGUAAAGCGCGCGUAGGCGGUUUUUUAAGUCAGAGGUGAAAGCCCAGUGCUCAACACUGGAACUGCCUUUGAAACUGGAAAACUUGAAUCUUGGAGAGGUCAGUGGAAUUCCGAGUGUAGAGGUGAAAUUCGUAGAUAUUCGGAAGAACACCAGUGGCGAAGGCGACUGACUGGACAAGUAUUGACGCUGAGGUGCGAAAGCGUGGGGAGCAAACAGGAUUAGAUACCCGUGUAGU
rnacentral:rRNA from 1 species